GGAGGUCAAUGUAACACAGUCCACCAACUCGACUCAGAGAUUUGAUGAGAAGGAUGAAGCUAAUGAAAGCCCAGGAGAUGAACAGAAACAGCUUCUAAACAGGGAUGAAGCUAAUGCAAGCCCAGGAGAUGAACAGAAACCGCUUCCAAAUGGAUUGAUUUCUGGCUCAAAGACUGAGGCGACGACCACCACAACCAGCACCAAGAAAUGGGUCCGUGGGAGGUUGGUUGAAGUAAGUGAAGGAUGUUAGAUUAGCUGAAAGAUUAUUUGAAGUAUCCGAUUUACACACUUGGAAUGCAUCUCAUGGAUGCACUAUAGAGUACACUUUUUGACAAAAGGGAG
rnacentral:misc_RNA from 1 species